AUUGAACGCUGGCGGCAGGCCUAACACAUGCAAGUCGAACGAGUGGCGGACGGGUGAGUAAUGUCUGGGAAACUGCCUGAUGGGGGGGGAUAACUACUGGAAACGGUAGCUAAUACCGCAUACCAUCAAAUGUGCCCAGAUGGGAUUAGCUAGUGGGGGGGGUAAGGGCGCACCAAGGCGACGAUCCCUAGCUGGUCUGAGAGGAUGACCAGCCACACUGGAACUUAGACACGGUCCAUACUCCUACGGGAGUCAGCAGUGGGUAAUAUUGCACAAUGGGCGCAAGCCUGAUGCAGCCAUGCCGCGUGUAUGAAGAAGGCCUUCGGGUUGUAAAGUACUUUCAGCGGGGAGGCGUUACCCGCAGAAGAAGCACCGGCUAACUCCGUGUCAGCCGCCGCGGUAAUAC
rnacentral:rRNA from 1 species